UCUUUCCUAAUCUACUAUGUGUAUACAAAUGCCCAUUUUAUUUGGUGCUUAAAUUCAUAAUUUUCAAAAUGAUUUUUUAAAAAUCAGCUGAAUGGAUAUGACAUGGCUGAAGUCCUGGAAGUGAACAUGAUUGCCAUGUGAAGCAUGGCAAUGUGAAGCUAAGAAGAGAGCCAAAAAUAGACCCUUGGGGGACACCUACAGUAAGGGGUAAAGGGCAUCAUCAUCAUCAUCAUCAUCAUAAGUAGCAUUUAUUUGGCUCUUUAAGAUUUACAAAACUCUUUACAAAUAUUUUAUCCUUACAGCAACUCUGGGAGACAGGUGCUAUUAUUGUUACCACUUUACAUAUGAGAAAACUGAGGCUGAGAUUGACUUGUCCAGGGUACACAGCUAAGUAUUUGAGUAGGAUCUGAAUUCAGCUCCAACAGCCACACCACCUAGUUCCCAAGAUUAUUAGCCAGUGGAAAAAGACCAACAACAACUUAGAGAUGUAAGCUCUGAAACCAAGAAUGGAGCAUACAGAAAAAGUAACUAGUCAACAGUAUAAAUAGUGGCAAAACAGAUCAAGGAGAAUGGGGAAUUCAUCAAAUAUGUAUUAUGUCUUUACUGUUUUAGGCACUAGGGAUGUGAGUUCAAAGAAAUAACCCUUACUCACAAUGAAUUACAUUCUAAUGGGGGAAACAAGUACAUAUACAAAUACUUAUGUAUGUAUACAUACAGCAUAUACAAAUACUUAUGUAUGUAUACAUACAGCAUAAAUAUAAAGUUACUAAGUACAAAUACAUACAAAAUAGUAGAAUUAAGGCACUUUGAGAAGGAAGACAUUAGCAGUUAGAGGAAUCGGGAAAAAUUGCAUUUGAAGAUAAGUGCCUAAACAGGAGGAUCUUAAAAGAAGAGAGACCAUGGGGGAUGACCAGGAUCAAGGCAUGGAAGAGUUUCAAGUCAUGUGUAAGAAACAGAGUAGACAGUUUGAUUUUUUCACAAAAUAUAGAAGGGGGGGGAGGGGAGGAGAGAUAUCUAAUUGGGCUGUAAAAACAGUUAAGAGUCAAAAAAUGAAAAAUUUUUAAAAGCUGAACAGGGGAGUUUAUAUUUCUAUCCUUAAGACACUAGGAAGACACUGAAGUUGGUUGAGUAGGGGAGUCAUGGUCAACUCUAUAUUUAAGGAAAACUAUUUAGGUAGCAGCAUUAAGGGAAUACUUGUAAGAAACAAAACAAGGAAGCCAAUAUAAUAACUACAAGCAAAGUGAUGAGGGCCUGGGCUAAGAUAGUGGCUGUAUGACUACAGAAAAGGAGUCAAAUGCAAGAUGUGAAUAUAGAAAUGGCAAGUCUGGCAAAUGACUGGAAAUGUGAGAUAAAAGAAAGG
rnacentral:lncRNA from 1 species